rnacentral:rRNA from 1 species
GAUGAAUGCUGGCGGCGUGCCUAAUACAUGCAAGUCGAGCGAACGGACGAGAAGCUUGCUUCUCUGAUGUUAGCGGCGGACGGGUGAGUAACACGUGGAUAACCUACCUAUAAGACUGGGAUAACUUCGGGAAACCGGAGCUAAUACCGGAUAAUAUUUUGAACCGCAUGGUUCAAAAGUGAAAGACGGUCUUGCUGUCACUUAUAGAUGGAUCCGCGCUGCAUUAGCUAGUUGGUAAGGUAACGGCUUACCAAGGCAACGAUGCAUAGCCGACCUGAGAGGGUGAUCGGCCACACUGGAACUGAGACACGGUCCAGACUCCUACGGGAGGUAGCAGUAGGGAAUCUUCCGCAAUGGGCGAAAGCCUGACGGAGCAACGCCGCGUGAGUGAUGAAGGUCUUCGGAUCGUAAAACUCUGUUAUUAGGGAAGAACAUAUGUGUAAGUAACUGUGCACAUCUUGACGGUACCUAAUCAGAAAGCCACGGCUAACUACGUG